UUUAAAUGUAACUAUGAGUUUCUAUGUUUUAUUUUAGUUGUCCGUCUUAUUUAAUUUCUUUCUAUAAUUAGUAUUUUUGUUGUGAUGAGAUGAUAAAACAUGAAUAAUACUUUAUGCGUUACUUAUGUUUUUAUAUUUUUUUUCAAUAAUAUUUAAAUUAGACGGAUGAUUAAAGUUGGACAUGGAAAUUUAUAACUGCUCUUAAA
rfam:Oryza barthii chromosome 3, whole genome shotgun sequence.